rnacentral:siRNA from 1 species
AGGUGUGAUGGCUGUAGCUGU